GUCCCUCCACUGGAAGUCGAGUAUUAUUUUGUUGUGUAUAGACGAACCUAAUGUAAAUUGUUAAGAUACAUGUUGUAGACAAUGUAUAUACACUUGUUUGGUAUGCCAGUAUGAGAUGGCAAUGUGUAGUAUUAUUUUGAAUUCUAAGUUAUGAAAUAUGACUUAGCAGUUAUGAUGGAAUGAUGAACACGUCAGAUUAAUAGGCUUGCUUGGGCUUAGUG
rnacentral:lncRNA from 1 species